AAUAGAUACCCCGGUAGUCCACGCCGUAAACGAUGAGUGCUAAGUGUUAGGGGGUUUCCGCCCCUUAGUGCUGCAGCUAACGCAUUAAGCACUCCGCCUGGGGAGUACGGCCGCAAGGCUGAAACUCAAAGGAAUUGACGGGGGCCCGCACAAGCGGUGGAGCAUGUGGUUUAAUUCGAAGCAACGCGAAGAACCUUACCAGGUCUUGACAUCUCCUGACCGCCCUGGAGACAGGGUCUUCCCUUCGGGGACAGGAUGACAGGUGGUGCAUGGUUGUCGUCAGCUCGUGUCGUGAGAUGUUGGGUUAAGUCCCGCAACGAGCGCAACCCUUGUCCUUGGUUGCCAGCAUUCAGUUGGGCACUCUAAGGAGACUGCCGGCUAAAAGUCGGAGGAAGGUGGGGAUGACGUCAAAUCAUCAUGCCCCUUAUGACCUGGGCUACACACGUGCUACAAUGGGCGGUACAGAGGGUCGCGAACCCGCAAGGGGGAGCCAAUCCCAAAAAACCGCUCUCAGUUCGGAUUGCAGGCUGCAACUCG
rnacentral:rRNA from 1 species